GAACAUGAGAGUUUGAUCCUGGCUCAGGAUGAACGCUGGCGGCGUGCUUAACACAUGCAAGUCGAACGAAACAC
rnacentral:rRNA from 1 species